CAAAGGCUUGGUCCUGGCUUUACUAUCAUCUUUAGCUGAACUUACACAUGCAAGUAUCUGCGCCCCGGUGCGAAUGCCCAAACAGUUCCCCGCCCGGGAACAAGGAGCUGGUAUCAGGCUCGACCCCCCCCCGCCCAUGACGCCUUGCUUAGCCACACCCUCAAGGGAACCCAGCAGUGACAAAUUUUAAGCAAUAAGUGAAAACUUGACUUAGUUAAAGCUAAGAGAGCCGGUAAAACUCGUGCCAGCCACCGCGGUUAUACGAGAGGCUCAAGCUGAUAGACCACGGCGUAAAGUGUGGUUAGGGAAAAUCUUAUAAUAAAGCCGAGAAUCGACAGAGCAGUUAUACGCCUCCGAGAGGGAAAGAUCAACCACGAAAGUAGCUUUACCACCCCUGAACCCACGAAAGCUGGGGCACAAACUGGGAUUAGAUACCCCACUAUGCCUAGCCCUAAACACAGGCAGCCUAUACACCAACCCCCCGCCAGGGAAGUACGAGCACGAGCUUGAAACCCAAAGGACUUGGCGGUGCUUUAGACCCACCUAGAGGAGCCUGUUCUAGAACCGAUAACCCCCGUUAAACCUCACCCUUCCUAGUCCAUCCGUCCGCCUAUAUACCGCCGUCGUCAGCUUGCCCUAUGAAGGUUUAACAGCGAGCACAACCGGCACAGCCCAGAACGUCAGGUCGAGGUGUAGCGCAUGGAAGGGGAAGAAAUGGGCUACAUUCCCUAAUGGAGGGAACACGAAUGGUAAACUGAAACGUUUAUACUGAAGGUGGAUUUAGUAGUAAGCAAGGUGCAGAGAACCCUGCUGAACACGGCUCUGAAGCGCGCACACACCGCCCGUCACCCUCCCCAAGACUAGCAAAUGACUUUUACUAAACCAUUAUUAUAGUAAAGGGGAGGCAAGUCGUAACAUGGUAAGUGCACCGGAAGGUGUACUUGGAAUAC
rnacentral:ncRNA from 1 species